rnacentral:rRNA from 1 species
GGUCAAGUGAAGAAGCGCAUACGGUGGAUGCCUUGGCAGUCAGAGGCGAUGAAAGACGUGGUAGCCUGCGAAAAGCUUCGGGGAGUCGGCAAACAGACUUUGAUCCGGAGAUCUCUGAAUGGGGGAACCCACCUAGGAUAACCUAGGUAUCUUGUACUGAAUCCAUAGGUGCAAGAGGCGAACCAGGGGAACUGAAACAUCUAAGUACCCUGAGGAAAAGAAAUCAACCGAGAUUCCCUUAGUAGUGGCGAGCGAACGGGGAUUAGCCCUUAAGCUUCAUUGAUUUUAGCGGAACGCUCUGGAAAGUGCGGCCAUAGUGGGUGAUAGCCCCGUACGCGAAAGGAUCUUUGAAGUGAAAUCGAGUAGGACGGAGCACGAGAAACUUUGUCUGAACAUGGGGGGACCAUCCUCCAAGGCUAAAUACUACUGACUGACCGAUAGUGAACCAGUACCGUGAGGGAAAGGCGAAAAGAACCCCGGAGAGGGGAGUGAAAUAGAACCUGAAACCGUAUGCGUACAAGCAGUGGGAGCCUACUUGUUAGGUGACUGCGUACCUUUUGUAUAAUGGGUCAGCGACUUAUAUUCAGUGGCAAGCUUAACCGUAUAGGGUAGGCGUAGCGAAAGCGAGUCUUAAUAGGGCGUUUAGUCGCUGGGUAUAGACCCGAAACCGGGCGAUCUAUCCAUGAGCAGGUUGAAGGUUAGGUAACACUGACUGGAGGACCGAACCCACUCCCGUUGAAAAGGUAGGGGAUGACUUGUGGAUCGGAGUGAAAGGCUAAUCAAGCUCGGAGAUAGCUGGUUCUCCUCGAAAGCUAUUUAGGUAGCGCCUCAUGUAUCACUCUGGGGGGUAGAGCACUGUUUCGGCUAGGGGGUCAUCCCGACUUACCAAACCGAUGCAAACUCCGAAUACCCAGAAGUGCCGAGCAUGGGAGACACACGGCGGGUGCUAACGUCCGUCGUGAAAAGGGAAACAACCCAGACCGCCAGCUAAGGUCCCAAAGUUGUGGUUAAGUGGUAAACGAUGUGGGAAGGCUUAGACAGCUAGGAGGUUGGCUUAGAAGCAGCCAUCCUUUAAAGAAAGCGUAAUAGCUCACUAGUCGAGUCGGCCUGCGCGGAAGAUGUAACGGGGCUCAAACCACACACCGAAGCUGCGGGUGUCACGUAAGUGACGCGGUAGAGGAGCGUUCUGUAAGCCUGUGAAGGUGAGUUGAGAAGCUUGCUGGAGGUAUCAGAAGUGCGAAUGCUGACAUGAGUAACGACAAUGGGUGUGAAAAACACCCACGCCGAAAGACCAAGGGUUCCUGCGCAACGUUAAUCGACGCAGGGUUAGUCGGUUCCUAAGGCGAGGCUGAAAAGCGUAGUCGAUGGGAAACAGGUUAAUAUUCCUGUACUUCUGGUUACUGCGAUGGAGGGACGGAGAAGGCUAGGCCAGCUUGGCGUUGGUUGUCCAAGUUUAAGGUGGUAGGCUGAAAUCUUAGGUAAAUCCGGGGUUUCAAGGCCGAGAGCUGAUGACGAGUCGUCUUUUAGAUGACGAAGUGGUUGAUGCCAUGCUUCCAAGAAAAGCUUCUAAGCUUCAGGUAACCAGGAACCGUACCCCAAACCGACACAGGUGGUCGGGUAGAGAAUACCAAGGCGCUUGAGAGAACUCGGGUGAAGGAACUAGGCAAAAUGGCACCGUAACUUCGGGAGAAGGUGCGCCGGCUAGGGUGAAGGAUUUACUCCGUAAGCCUGGCUGGUCGAAGAUACCAGGCCGCUGCGACUGUUUAUUAAAAACACAGCACUCUGCAAACACGAAAGUGGACGUAUAGGGUGUGACGCCUGCCCGGUGCCGGAAGGUUAUUGAUGGGUUAGCGCAAGCGAAGCUCUUGAUCGAAGCCCCGGUAAACGGCGGCCGUAACUAUAACGGUCCUAAGGUAGCGAAAUUCCUUGUCGGGUAAGUUCCGACCUGCACGAAUGGCGUAACGAUGGCGGCGCUGUCUCCAACCCGAGACUCAGUGAAAUUGAAAUCGCUGUGAAGAUGCAGUGUAUCCGCGGCUAGACGAAAGACCCGUGAACCUUUACUGUAGCUUUGCACUGGACUUUGAGCCUGCUUGUGUAGGAUAGGUGGGAGGCUUUGAAGCGUGGACGCCAGUUCGCGUGGAGCCAUCCUUGAAAUACCACCCUGGCAUGCUUGAGGUUCUAACUCUGGUCCGUGAUCCGGAUCGAGGACAGUGUAUGGUGGGCAGUUUGACUGGGGCGGCUCCUCCUAAAGAGUAACGGAGGGUACGAAGGUGCGCUCAGACGGUCGGAAAUCGGUCGCAGAGUAUAAAGGCAAAAGCGCGCUUGACUGCGAGACAGACACGUCGAGCAGGUACGAAAGUAGGUCUUAGUGAUCCGGUGGUUCUGUAUGGAAGGGCCAUCGCUCAACGGAUAAAGGUACUCCGGGAUAACAGGCUGAUACCGCCCAAGAGUUCAUAUCGACGGCGGUGUUUGGCACCUCGAUGUCGGCUCAUCACACUCAUCCCAUUCUGGGGCUGAAGCCGGUCCCAAGGGUAUGGCUGUUCGCCAUUUAAAGUGGUACGCGAGCUGGGUUUAGAACGUCGUGAGACAGUUCGGUCCCUAUCUGCCGUGGACGUUUGAGAUUUGAGAGGGGCUGCUCCUAGUACGAGAGGACCGGAGUGGACGAACCUCUGGUGUUCCGGUUGUCACGCCAGUGGCAUUGCCGGGUAGCUAUGUUCGGAAAAGAUAACCGCUGAAAGCAUCUAAGCGGGAAACUUGCCUCAAGAUGAGAUCUCACUGGGAACUUGAUUCCCCUGAAGGGCCGUCGAAGACUACGACGUUGAUAGGCUGGGUGUGUAAGCGUUGUGAGGCGUUGAGCUAACCAGUACUAAUUGCCCGUGAGGCUUGACCAU